GAACUUGAAGAAUUGGAGGUAGCAGUGUGUGUCUUGUAAAUAAGCAAGCAAUUCUCCCUGCUCCACAGAAAGCUACAGCUGAAGAUGAAGAACUUGCUACACUACAAGCUGAAACUUUGCUAUGACCAGGGUGACUACAAAGAGGAUUGAGAUAGAAAAUAGUAGUACAAACUUGCAAAAUACUCUUUUACAGAGAUCUAGUCCUAAUAAGACUCAAGGUGGAAGGCUAAUUGUUAUUUCUCCAAAUGCGCUCAUACAAGCUGCAACAAAGAAUUUGCAAAUGUUUGAAGCAAUGGAUCCAAAGAACUAGCUCGACUGGACUCUAGAUCACGGGGAGUUUAGUCUUGGCACUUAAUUAGGAUGGCUAAAUUACAUUUGAGUUUCAUUAGAUGGAUAUU